ACUCCCAUACGCCCCCACGUCUCUCUCCCUUCACCUCAUUCCAUUUUCUCUCGGACAGCCUCGAAAUGGCCCCGAACAGUCCCGAUAAGAUAAGUUCUUUACAUUUCGUUACAUUCUUUCGCAUUUCAUUUAAUUACCGGGGAAGGGGUGUUGGAUUGUUUGAGAAUGAUUGAUUUGUUUGAUCGGUGUUACUUGUGUGGGAGAUUGAUGUGUUGAUGAUAUGCUAUGUAUAACAAAGAUCACAAGGGAAGGGAUUUAUACCUUCUAUGCUAUGAACUUGACCGUGAGGUUUGUAGACUGAAAAGGGAGACUCCUUGAACUUGGCAGAUUAAAUUUCACGUCUGGAAUUGAAUUGAGAAUUUGGCAGCUCUUCAAAUUCUCGCUUUCUGUCGUGAAUCCGUGACUUGUAGUGAAUUAAAGAUGGAAGAUGAAGAAGUUUGAAAUUGGAGAGUCUCCAUAGAAGGGGUAUCGGCCAAGAGGGAGAAGGAAGAAGAAAGGAUUUUGGGCUUGCUCCCAUUUUUUGAAAAGAAUUGGACUCCCACACUUUAAUUAAAUUGUUUUGGGCUCAUUUGGUUGUAAGGCCCAAAUUUGUAUUAUUCUUUAUUUGUUAGACUUUUUGAUUGUUAUGGCCCAAAGCCAUUUUUAUAUACACAUUUGGACUUCAAAUUUUAUUAAUUAUUUCACGA